rnacentral:rRNA from 1 species
CCUACGGGAGGUAGCAGUGGGGAAUAUUGGGCAAUGGGCGCAAGCCUGACCCAGCGACGCCGCGUGAAGGAAGAAGGCUUUCGGGUUGUAAACUUCUUUUGUCAGGGACGAAGCAAGUGACGGUACCUGACGAAUAAGCCACGGCUAACUACGUGCCAGCAGCCGCGGGAAUACGUAGGUGGCAAGCGUUAUCCGGAUUUACUGGGUGUAAAGGGCGUGUAGGCGGGACUGCAAGUCAGAUGUGAAAACCACGGGCUCAACCUGUGGCCUGCAUUUGAAACUGUAGGUCUUGAGUACUGGAGAGGCAGACGGAAUGCCUAGUGUAGCAGUGAAAUGCGUAGAUAUUAGGAGGAACACCAGUGGCGAAGGCGGCCUGCUGGACAGCAACUGACGCUGAGGCGCGAAAGCGUGGGUAGCAAACAGGAUUAGAUACCCCAGUAGUC